rnacentral:rRNA from 1 species
GACGAACGCUGGCGGCGUGCUUAACACAUGCAAGUCGAACGGUAAGACCCUUCGGGGUACACGAGUGGCGAACGGGUGAGUAACACGUGGGUGAUCUGCCCUGCACUUCGGGAUAAGCCUGGGAAACUGGGUCUAAUACCGGAUAGGACCAUGCGCCUCACGGUGAGUGGUGGAAAGCUUUUGCGGUGUGGGAUGGGCCCGCGGCCUAUCAGCUUGUUGGUGGGGUAAUGGCCUACCAAGGCGACGACGGGUAGCCGGCCUGAGAGGGUGACCGGCCACGCUGGGACUGAGAUACGGCCCAGACUCCUACGGGAGGCAGCAGUGGGGAAUAUUGCACAAUGGGCGCAAGCCUGAUGCAGCGACGCCGCGUGAGGGAUGACGGCCUUCGGGUUGUAAACCUCUUUCAGUAGGGACGAAGCGCAAGUGACGGUACCUACAGAAGAAGGACCGGCCAACUACGUGCCAGCCGCCGCCGUAA